rnacentral:lncRNA from 12 species
CCCCCCCCCCCCCCCCCCCCCCCCCCCCCCCCCCCCCCCCCCCCCCCCGGGGUUUCCAGAAGGCUCCUCAGGCAGGUGAGCAGGGGCUGGGGGUUUCCAGAAGGUUCCUCAGGCAGAGAUGAGGCACCGUGCUCUUUAAAGGUCAGAACUCAGGAUGAAACUCUGCAGCACUGACAUCUCUCUGGAACAUCCUGUCUGAGCCCCAAGUGUCUUCAGCGAGGUUCUGCCUGUCAUUCAUGAUGAGGAAGCUCCAUGUGAAACUAAUUUAGAAUAUGUGGCACUUAUGCAUUAAAUGCUGCUGAAGUUCGGCUGAGUCAAAAUGUUGGUGGCCUUCCCUGCACUGAAAUGAGGCUGAUGAUGUGUAAUGGUGAAAUGCUUUUUUCACUACUUAGUUCAUGAUGCACUAUUUAUAUUAAAACUUUUGAAC